rnacentral:rRNA from 1 species
UACGUAGGUGGCAAGCGUUGUCCGGAAUUAUUGGGCGUAAAGAGCUCGUAGGCGGUGUGUCGCUGUCGGUCGUGAAAACUUGGGGCUUAACUCUGAGCUUGCGGUCGAUACGGGCAUCACUGGAGUUCGGCAGGGGAGACUGGAAUUCCUGGUGUAGCGGUGAAAUGCGCAGAUAUCAGGAGGAACACCGGUGGCGAAGGCGGGUCUCUGGGCCGAUACUGACGCUGAGGAGCGAAAGCGUGGGGAGCGAACAGG